rnacentral:tRNA from 1 species
CCCUGGUGGUUCAGAUGGUAAAGAACCUGCCUGCAAUGCAGGUGGUCCCAGGUUCGAUCCUUGGGUCAGGAA